ACGGGGUGCAGCAGGCGCGAAAACUUUGCAAUGUGCGAAAGCACGACAAGGUUAAUCCGAGUGAUUUCUGCUAAAGAAAUCUUUUGUUAGUCAUAAAACCACUGACGAAUAAGGGGUGGGCAAGUUCUGGUGUCAGCCGCCGCGGUAAAACCAGCACCUCAAGUGGUCAGGAGAAUUAUUGGGCCUAAAGCAUCCGUAGCCGGUUCUCUAAGUUUUUGGUUAAAUCUAUGUGCUCAACGCAUAGGCUGCCGAAAAUACUGGAGAGCUAGGGAGUGGGAGAGGUAGACGGUACUUGAUAGGAAGGGGUAAAAUCUUUUGAUCUAUCGAUGACCACCUGUGGCGAAGGCGGUCUACCAGAACACGUUCGACGGUGAGGGAUGAAAGCUGGGGGAGCAAACCGGAUUAGAUACCCGGGUAGUCCCAGCUGUAAACGAUGCAGACUCGAUGAUGCAUUGGCAUAUAGCCAGUGCAGUAUCGCAGGGAAGCCGUUAAGUCUGCCGCCUGGGAAGUACGUACGCAAGUAUGAAACUUAAAGGAAUUGGCGGGGGAGCACCACAAGGGGUGAAGCCUGCGGUUCAAUUGGAGUCAACGCCGG
rnacentral:rRNA from 1 species